UCACUUACCUGGACGGGGUCAAUGGGUGAUCAAGAAAGUCCAUGGCCUAGGUUGGUGACGUCCAUUGCACUUAGGAUGGGUGCCCGCCUAAGGUCGGCCCAAGUGGUCGAGCCUACGUCAUAAUUUGUGGCAGUGGGGCUUGCAUUCGCGCAGCCCCUGC
rnacentral:snRNA from 2 species